rnacentral:rRNA from 1 species
UACGGAGGGUGCAAGCGUUGUUCGGAAUUACUGGGCGUAAAGCGCGUGUAGGCGGCUCGUUAAGUCCGAUGUGAAAACCCUGGGCUUAACCCAGGAAGUGCAUUGGAUACUGGCGGGAUUGAGUACGGGAGAGGAGAGUGGAAUUCCUAGUGUAGAGGUGAAAUUCGUAGAUACUAGGAGGAACACCAGUGGCGAAGGCGGCUCUCUGGCCCGAUACUGACGCUGAGACGCGAAAGCGUGGGGAGCAAACAGG